AGAGUUUGAUCCUGGCUCAGGAUGAACGCUGGCGGCGUGCCUAAUACAUGCAAGUCGAACGGACGGAAGAUGAGCUUGCUCAUUGGAAGUCAGUGGCGAACGGGUGAGUAACACGUAGGGAAUCUGCCCAUGUGCCCGGGACAACAGAUGGAAACGUCUGCUAAAACCGGAUAGGUGGCAAGGAGGCAUCUUCUUGCGAUUAAAGGGGCUACGGCCUUGAACAUGGAUGAUCCUGCGGUGCAUUAGCUAGUUGGUGAGGUAACGGCUCACCAAGGCGAUGAUGCAUAGCCGACCUGAGAGGGUGAACGGCCACAUUGGGACUGAGACACGGCCCAAACUCCUACGGGAGGCAGCAGUAGGGAAUUUUCGUCAAUGGGGGGAACCCUGAACGAGCAAUGCCGCGUGUGUGAGGAAGGUCUUCGGAUCGUAAAGCACUGUUGUAAGAGAGGAACGGUAUCCAGAGGGAAUGCUGGGUAAGUGACAGUAUCUUACCAGAAAGCCACGGCUAACUACGUGCCAGCAGCCGCGGUAAUACGUAGGUGGCGAGCGUUAUCCGGAAUCAUUGGGCGUAAAGGGUGCGUAGGCGGCGAGUUAAGUCUGAGGUAAAAGGUUGCAGCUCAACUGUAACAAGCCUUGGAAACUGACUGGCUAGAGUGCAGGAGAGGGCAGUGGAAUUCCAUGUGUAGCGGUAAAAUGCGUAGAUAUAUGGAGGAACACCAGUGGCGAAGGCGGCUGUCUGGCCUGUAACUGACGCUGAGGCACGAAAGCGUGGGGAGCAAAUAGGAUUAGAUACCCUAGUAGUCCACGCCGUAAACGAUGAGUACUAAGUGUUGGGAGUCAAAUUUCAGUGCUGCAGUUAACGCAAUAAGUACUCCGCCUGAGUAGUACGUUCGCAAGAAUGAAACUCAAAGGAAUUGACGGGGGCCCGCACAAGCGGUGGAGCAUGUGGUUUAAUUCGAAGCAACGCGAAGAACCUUA
rnacentral:rRNA from 1 species